UACCUGGUUGAUCCUGCCAGUAAUCAUAUGCUUGUCUCAAAGAUUAAGCCAUGCAUGUCUAAGUACAUGCCGAAAUAAGGCGAAACCGCGAAUGGCUCAUUAAAUCAGUUAUGGUUCCUUAGAUCGUUUCUUCCUACUUGGAUAACUGUGGCAAUUCUAGAGCUAAUACAUGCAGUGAGCCUGAAGCCCUUUGGGCGACGGGUGCUUUUAUUAGACCAAGAUCGAUCGGGUUUCGGCCCGUAUUGUGUGGUGACUCUGGAUAACUUUGUGCUGAUCGCAUGGCCACGAGCCGGCGACGUUUCUUUCAAGUGUCUGCCUUAUCAACUUUCGAUGGUAGGUUACUUGCUUACCAUGGUUGUUACGGGUAACGGAGAAUCAGGGUUCGAUUCCGGAGAGGGAGCCUGAGAAACGGCUACCACAUCCAAGGAAGGCAGCAGGCGCGCAAAUUACCCACUCCCGGCACGGGGAGGUAGUGACGAAAAAUAACAAUACGGGACUCUUUUGAGGCCCCGUAAUUGAAAUGAGUACACUCUAAAUCCUUUAACGAGGAUCAAUUGGAGGGCAAGUCUGGUGCCAGCAGCCGCGGUAAUUCCAGCUCCAAUAGCGUAUACUAAAGCUGCUGCGGUUAAAAAGCUCGUAGUUGGAUCUCAGUUCCAGACGAGUAGUGCAUUUACCCGAUGCGACGGCUCGGACUGAACAUCAUGCCGGUCCUUUCUUGGUGCACUUCAUUGUGUGCCUCGAGAAGGCCGGUGCUUUUACUUUGAAAAAAUUAGAGUGCUCAACGCAGGCGAGUCGCCUGAAUAAACUUGCAUGGAAUAAUAGAACAAGACCUCGUUUCUGUUCUGUUGGUUUUUGGAAUACGAGGUAAUGAUUAAGAGGGACAGACGGGGGCAUUCGUAUUGCGGCGCUAGAGGUGAAAUUCUUGGACCGUCGCAAGACGAACUACUGCGAAAGCAUUUGCCAAGAAUGUUUUCUUUGAUGAAGAACGAAAGUCAGAGGUUCGAAGGCGAUCAGAUACCGCCCUAGUUCUGACCAUAAACGAUGCCAACCAGCGAUCCGCCUGAGUUACUCAAAUGACUCGGCGGGCAGCUUCCGGGAAACCAAAGUGUUUGGGUUCCGGGGGAAGUAUGGUUGCAAAGCUGAAACUUAAAGGAAUUGACGGAAGGGCACCACCAGGAGUGGAGCCUGCGGCUUAAUUUGACUCAACACGGGAAAACUUACCCGGCCCGGACACUGGGAGGAUUGACAGAUUGAGAGCUCUUUCUUGAUUCGGUGGAUGGUGGUGCAUGGCCGUUCUUAGUUGGUGGAGCGAUUUGUCUGGUUAAUUCCGAUAACGAACGAGACUCUAGCCUAUUGAAUAGGUGCGGGGUUCCCAGCACCUUACAACCUUCUUAGAGGGACAAGCGGCUCCUAGCCGCAGGAAACAGAGCAAUAACAGGUCUGUGAUGCCCUUAGAUGUCCGGGGCCGCACGCGCGCUACACUGAAGGAAGCAGCGUGUCUUUAUCCCUGUCUGAAAAGACUGGGUAACCCGUGGAACUUCUUUCGUGAUUGGGAUAGGGGCUUGCAAUUGUUCCCCUUGAACGAGGAAUUCCCAGUAAGCGCGAGUCAUAAGCUCGCGUUGAUUACGUCCCUGCCCUUUGUACACACCGCCCGUCGCUACUACCGAUUGAAUGAUUUAGUGAGGUCUUCGGACCGAUGUCCGGCGCGGCCUUUCGGUUGCGCCGGUCUGUUGGAAACAUGACCAAACUUGAUCAUUUAGAGGAAGUAAAAGUCGUAACAAGGUUUCCGUAGGUGAACCUGCGGAAGGAUCAUUA
rnacentral:rRNA from 1 species